ensembl:lncRNA
GAAUCAGCUGCUGUUGUUUCAUUAGUUCAGCUAACAAUAUUUUAAUUAGCAGAAUAAUUAAAUGCUUCAUAUAUUUUAUAUGGCUAAACCUCCAACAUUUUAUCACAAAUUAUCAAUGAAAUAUUUCUAUAAAUGAUAGAUUUUAAUGGAAAUGGGAUGUUAUCUGAGCUUCUCCUCGGACUGAACAUUGAGUUGAAGAAUCGUGACAUGAAGACGACGUCUUUAUCUGGAAACUGAACCGAACCUGAACAGAGGACUCCAGAUGUGAGGUUCUCUGGUUUGUGUGAAGAGAAACAUCAUCGACAGCAGCAGCGUUAGAAAACAGCUGGAUUUAUUGAGUAGAAGUUAGACUGUACAGGAAGAGAAACGUUUCAUGUGAACGACUUGAAGACUUUUUGUGGCCUCGAACUGUUGAAGAUGAUUGCACAGCAGAGCAGAAGGAGGCACUAACAUCAGAAUAUUUGGCAGAUUCUUUUACUGAUGUAGUUUUAAGACACAGUUCUAUAAGACAGCGGCAUUAAGAGCAUCAUCAGAGGAACAUUAUUCAAUAAAACACCGUCAUGGCUGAGGAACACUGCUGUUGCAUAGUUUGGACUCAGUUUCCUCGUCAGGGUCUUCAGACCAAACACUUUAAAACGAAGCUUUUCUCUCUACUAUCAUAAAGAAUUAAAUAUUUGAUGUAGAACAUUAAUGUCAGGUUCACACAACACAAAGAUGCAGUGCAAAAAAACAGUAACACAUAAGUGUAACAAAGCAGAGUUUAGAAAGAGGAGCUUCUGGAGAUCAGAGCUUCCAUCAGAGGAGCUUCUGGAGCAGAACUCUAAAGUUCCAUCUAGGACCUUCCAUCAGAGGAGCUGGAGACAGAUGGAGGCUUCAGAACAACUCCAACAGAAACCUGUCCAACGCUGUAACAGUGAAUUUUCAGACAGUGAUGGAUGUGUGGAGGAGGGAAAGGAGGGCAGCUGAUCACCAGGGGGCGCUGUUCUCUGAUGGAGAUUCACUUCAUAAAAACCUUCAGACUGAACAAGAAGCUCAAUGAGGCCUUUAAUCCUGAAAUACGAGUCGUUUACAGCAGACCUGAUUUAGAGGUUUAUAUUCGACCAAUGAGAGUCUGCUGGCUGGAAAUGGAAACAAUCAGACGCAGUUAGAGAUUAAUAACAGUAUUAAAUAUGUUCUUCAUUAUUCUAACCCUAAAGCCUGAUGGGUUCUAAUAAACUAAGUACAGCUGAUGCAGUUUUUCUCUACUCAGUUACUAGUUAGGACUAAAAAAACACAGGACUAGUGACUCUACUAACCCUACUAGUCAGUGACUCUACUAACCCUACUAGUCAGUGACUAACCCUACUAGUCAGUGGCUACUAACCCUACUAGUCAGUCAGUGACCCAUGAAAUGUCAUUUUAGAAAAAAAAGUACAACAAAGUGCAUAAAUCAUGGCUGACAUCUCUAACAAUUUUACGGUCAUUUCCAGCCAGAAGAAACUAGUUGGUCAAUAUGAAGACUUUUGGACUGAACUGUUCUGUGCUGAAAAAUAAAGUCUGCUGUACUUUGCCAAAAGGUUUAAAACUAACUGUUGUGCUUUAAGACAGUUUUGUUCCCUUCAUUACUAACAGACUGAAACCAGCAGCAGCUGAUCUUUUCCAUGGUGUGGAUGUUUGGACUUGUGGAAGGUUUAAACAUUAGGCUUGACUACCUUUAUUAUGAAGUUUCUCAGCUGCCUUCAGCAGUCGUUGAUCUCACAUGAUCAAUACAGUUCUGCUGCGAACAAUGUGGCUGUUAACCCUAACCCAAACCACCCUAACCUUAACCCGCUAACCCUAACAACCCUACUAACCCUACUAACCUUAACCCAAACCACCCUAACCUUACCCUGCUAACCCUAACCUCCUAACCCUACUAACACUAACCCUACUAACCUUAACCCAAACCACCCUAAUCUUAACCCGCUAACCCUAACCCAUUAAUCCCAACCCAAACCCUACUAACCCUACCAACCCUACUAACCCUACUAAUUCUAACCCUAUUAACUCUAACCUGCACACAUCAAUAUGAGCCAAACUGUAUUUUCAUACUCAGUCUAGGUCCUGUAUAUUUUGUGGAGGACACUCACAGAGGAACUGAUCAUUCUAACUAAACACUAAAGUAACAGCUUUUAGUUUUCCACAGCUGGUCAUCAUGAAUUCAUGAACUUUCCUGCUGGAACUCAGUGCUGCUCAGACUUCCCCUCCUGUGGACUUCUGAUGCUGCUGGAGGUUUAGUAAAGGUUCAUUACUGAGAACCGUCUUUAUGUAAGGUCCAGUUGUGAUGUGAAACUCUGGAGAGAGCUGAGCAGCAUUCAGAACAUCAGAACAUCUGCUCCUGGUGACAACAUGCAGUCUGAGCUGUAGAACUGAAACAGUUUGUUCAGCAGCAUAAAGGCCAGUCUGACUUCAUGCUCUGGUCUGAAGCGAUGACAUGGAUUUAUUGUCCAGUCCAGACAAAGAGACUCUGCAGCUUCAGCUUUAGUCCAACAGCAGACAGAAGCUUUCAGUGUGACAGAAUCAUGCUGCCAAGUCUGACAAACUCAGCUUCCUCUUUUCAACUGUUGGAAAACACCAGAGCCAUCAUGUGACUUCACUGCUUCACGCUCAGACGGCAGCAGAAUCCAUGCUGGUGUAAAGGACAGAAUCUGUAAAGCUACAAGACUCAGACCUGAACUAGCAUCAGACUGAUUCAUCCUGAGGCUGGAAGAAGAGGAACAAACACCGAGAUGUCAGAAAACUCAAACCCUCCACCUAAAAAUAGUCUCUGCUGAUCAUGUGACCUUUUUCUAAAUGUGUUGCUCAGAACUCUGAGCUGUUUGCUGAAUGAACAGUCAAAUAAACAGUCAAGUAAAAAGGUGAUCGGUGACUACACUACUGAUGCACUCCUCUGUCCUCCAUUUAUUCCAUCUUUUCUAUAAGAAGCACUGAAAAUCUGAAACAGCGUUAAUUAAAACAGGAAACUGAACAAAAAGUCAGAAUUAAACGAUCAAAACAGGAAUUCUUUUCUGAUAACAAUAAUACUAACAUCCUGAUCAGGUCUGAAUGGGGUCAUUCUGGAGAUAACGAGGCCUUUAGAACUGUAAAGCUUUGGUGAUCAGAUCGUUUCUUAUUCUGCUGUCAGGUUUUCUAGGUUCUAAUUUAGAAAACUGAUUAAAGCAGGAAAGUCUCUGAAACUGUUUUUCUGUUCAGUUU